UUUGUUCAAUGUUUUCCUGUGUUCCAUGUUUGUCGUGUGCUCAUUAGGUUGUGUCCACCUGUUCUCGUCUACUUUGUCGACCAAUCAGCUCUCUCUAGCCACUCGUCUUGUCCAGGUGUUCCUCGUUGUCUCGUCAAUUUGUUUGUAUUUAGUUCCCUGGUUUCUUUCAGUUCUGAGAUUCCCGCACUCCUGCCUUGCCUCCCUGCUUCCCUGCAAUUGGGUCCACCAUGUUCUUGCCUUGCAUUCCUCGCCGUCGCCCUAACCAUGUUCAUGACAGUCUGGCCUGAACCCUUCACCGGGGUGUUCCACGCUGUCCGGACCCGGCAGAGGCGAGGACUCGGGAAAGAACACCGAGACAACGCGCCUGGCGAUAAUCGGCCUUCCGAGGCGGGAUCUCGGAAGGAAGGGUGCCUGUGGGACCCGCGCUCCCUGCUGUCUAGAGUGUUGUCGCACAUCAAAUCAUUUGAUUGUGGGAGGCCGUGUCGUUCAAAAGCGCAAUAUCUCAUUGGUUUUGUUUCAAGCCCAUUUUCGGGCUAAAAUACAUGACCCCAUUGCCUCAAAAAUGGUUUGCUCCAAACCAUUUUUAGGGGUGGACAAGUGGCUCUAUAAUGAAUCCCAGCACCACUACACCUCGGAUCCUACAAUCGGCCACUUAAAAUGUUGCGGCUUCGCUGAGUCAAAGAGGUCAGAAAGUGAACUUUACAUGAACACAGAAGACGGAGAUGUCCAGCACUGCAACUUGACAGCAAGUAACAAGGCAACUUGUAUGGCUACAUGCUGAUUUUUGGGGGUUUCACCACCGCUCAUACUUUUGUGUUGUUGCCGCCAUUGUUACCAUAGCAACCCAUGCAAAUGGCUCAGCACUUCCGACUAAAAGGCCUAUUGUCUUUUCCCGGCAUGACUGUGUUCUAGGGCACAGAGCAACAUCCGGUAAAGGACGCUCGGAAACUCCUUGGGGAGUCACAAACG